rnacentral:rRNA from 1 species
GGGUCAGUAGGUUGGUCGUGCCACCGGUACGUACUGGUCUCACUGAUUCCUCCUUCCUGAAGAACCGUAAUGCCAUUAAUUUGGUGUUGCGGGGAAACAGGACCGUUACUUUGAAAAAAUUAGAGUGUUUAAAGCAAGCUAACGCUUGAAUACAUUAGCAUGGAAUAAUGAAAUAGGACGAUCGAUCCUAUUUCGCUGGUUUCUAGGAUUGACGUA